rnacentral:rRNA from 1 species
UACGGGGGGGGCAAGCGUUUGUUUCGGAAUUACUGGGCGUAAAGGGCUCGUAGGCGGCCAACUAAGUCGGAUGUGAAAUCCCCAGGCUUAACCUGGGAACUGCAUCCGAUACUGGAUGGCUUGAAUCCGGGAGAGGGAUGCAGAAUUCCAGGUGUAGCGGUGAAAUGCGUAGAUAUCUGGAGGAAUACCGGUGGCGAAGGCGGCAUCCUGGACCGGCAUUGACGCUGAUGAGCGAAAGCUAGGGAGCAAACGGG